rnacentral:tRNA from 3 species
CGGGGCGUAGCGCAGCUUGGUCAGCGCGCUUGAAUGGGGUUCAAGAGGUCGCCAGUUCGAAUCUGGCCGCCCCGACCA